GACGAACGCUGGCGGCGUGCUUAACACAUGCAAGUCGAACGGAAAGGCCCUGCUUGUGUGGGGUGCUCGAGGGGCGAACGGGUGAGUAACACGUGUGUAACCUGCCCUUGACUUUGGGAUAACUUCAGGAAACGGGGGCUAAGACCGGAUAGGAUCCCCCGCUGCAUGGUGGGGGGUGGAAAGUUUCGGCGGGUGGGGAUGGACUCGCGGCUUAUCAGCUUGUUGGUGGGGUAGUGGCUUACCAAGGCUUUGGCGGGUAGCCGGCCUGAGAGGGUGACCGGCCACCUUGGGCCUGCGGUACGGCCCAGACUCCAACGGGGGGCAGCGGGGGGAAAUAUUGUCCAAUGGGCGGACGCCUGAGGCAGCAGCGCCGCGUGCGGGAUGACGGCCUUCGGGUUGUAAACCGCUUCCGCCUGUGACGAAGCGUGUGUGACGGUAAUGGGUAAAGAAGCACCGGCUAACUACGUG
rnacentral:rRNA from 1 species